rnacentral:rRNA from 1 species
UACAGAGGUCUCAAGCGUUGUUCGGAUUCAUUGGGCGUAAAGGGUGUGUAGGUGGCGCGCUAAGUCGGGUGUGAAAUUUCGGAGCUUAACUCCGAAACUGCAUUCGAUACUGGCGUGCUUGAGGACUGGAGAGGAGACUGGAAUUCAUGGUGUAGCAGUGAAAUGCGUAGAUAUCAAGUGGAACACCAGUGGCGAAGGCGAGUCCCUGGAAAAUACCUGACACUGAGGCACGAAAGCUAGGGGAGCAAACAGG